CAGAAAAUAGUUUAUUAAAAAUAUUAAUUUUGGAGAUUAAUGAAAGAAUGUUAAUUCUUUUUCUGA
rnacentral:tRNA from 1 species